GGUGAACGCUGGCGGCGUGCUUAACACAUGCAAGUCGAACGAUGAAGCCCAGCUUGCUGGGUGGAUUAGUGGCGAACGGGUGAGUAACACGUGAGUAACCUGCCCUUAACUCUGGGAUAAGCCUGGGAAACUGGGUCUAAUACCGGAUAGGAGCGUCCACCGCAUGGUGGGUGUUGGAAAGAUUUAUCGGUUUUGGAUGGACUCGCGGCCUAUCAGCUUGUUGGUGAGGUAAUGGCUCACCAAGGCGACGACGGGUAGCCGGCCUGAGAGGGUGACCGGCCACACUGGGACUGAGACACGGCCCAGACUCCUACGGGAGGCAGCAGUGGGGAAUAUUGCACAAUGGGCGAAAGCCUGAUGCAGCGACGCCGCGUGAGGGAUGACGGCCUUCGGGUUGUAAACCUCUUUCAGUAGGGAAGAAGCGAAAGUGACGGUACCUGCAGAAGAAGCACCGGCUAACUACGUG
rnacentral:rRNA from 1 species